GCAAAUAUUUAUUAAUAAAGUUUGUGGUUUUUAGUUCCCAAAGAAAUUUAUACAAUCUAUAUAUAUAAAGGAGAAGGGAGUCUCUUCUCCUGCUGCCACGUCAGCGUCGCAGAGGAAGGAAAUCGCGCCACCUCAGCUCCAUCUCACCUACGUUUAAAAUUUACGGAUUGUCAUUUGAGGUUUGUCUACUGGGCUUAGUUUUUUAUUGCUUGACUUAUAGUUAUCUGUGUUGGGUUUUAUACAAAGUUGGCCCAUUUCCAGGAGAAACCACGCUUCUCCUUCUUCCACGCCAUUCCACGCCGCAUUCUGUAAACCCUAAUAUCAUUUUCAUCGUCUUUGAACAAAGCCGAGUAAUGGAUUCUCCACUAUUUAUUUUGAAGCCAUAAACUCAGCAUUUAAUCUCGGUAAUUUUUCUCCCACUACUUCUCAUUUCACUAGAACCUUCGAUCUCUUCGGAUUCUUAGAUUUGGAUCCUAUAAAUAGGCGUUCCUGGCUUCAUGAUUAUCACAGAAUCAUCGAUUUUUCUACUCAAACACAGACCGGCGUGAACAAUGGCUGCUUCCCAGAUCGUCCUUUCUGAGUUGAGGCCAGGAUGUUGUGCUCGGAUCGUUGUGACACGCCUGCUCCGAUUUUGGGAAGCUAGGAAUGCUAAGAAGGGUGGUGCACUAAUGGGCGUUGAUAUGCUUCUCUUGGAUGAUCAGUCUUUUUUCCGUCCAAGCAUCUGUUUUUGUACAUUGGCUGAACACGUUCCGAGAACUUCUUCGUGAAGGAGCUUAGUGGAUUUGAUGUGACUAGAAGCAGCAAUCAUUUCAAGCUUUGUGAUUCUGUUGUGGGGUGCUGCAUUUGUUUCUGUGGAGGACCAGAAGAAGCACGUUUAGCUAUGGAGAGGUAUGUCUAUGCAUCUAAAAAUUAUAUUUGAUGUAUUGUGUCAAUGCCUUUGUGUUGCUCAUUCUGUUUAUGUACAAUACUUGGAACAUAUAGAAUGUGAGUAUGAUCUCAAGACAUGUGUAGACUUUUACAAGCUGAGUCACAACAUCCAUGAUUCUGAUGAAUAAACCUUUUUAUCUUAUACUCAUCUAACUGACCUUAGAAAGGAAGAUGAUCCUCUGAAUCCAACUGUAUCUAGGGUGAUGGUGUAAGUUGUUCUCUGUGGCACGGGUCGCUGAGAAUGACAUUGUCAAUGGUGGUGACUGCAAUGUAUCAACUAAUUGCAGGUGCAAGAAGUUAACCAAAGGUAGUUAUGGUCGAAUUUAGGAAACAGAAACCACAGUUUUACAAAGUUGUAACCUUCCACUCUAAGCACGGGUGAGGAAGAGUGGGCGACGGCAAAGUAAUAAGAACAGACGAGGAGCGUGGAGAGGGAAUGAGAUGGAUGAGAAGAGAGGGGGCACCACAAGAGAAGCUGCGUAAAUGCUGGAGACUCAUAGAGAUAGGGCAGAAUAUGGCGGAGGUUGUGAGGGCCUACACGUCUAUUUCACUGUAUUUGGUUCAACUUAAUAGAUUAUAUAUCGUACUAAACGAAAACCAGUUUAGUAUUUUUCAGUUUGACUUUUAAUGGAAAACACUUCGUAUGUAAUGGUUUACGGCAAUUUUGAAGAUAUAAUAUAAAUCAUUAUUUCUUA